CAUGCAAGUCGAACGGAAAGGCCCUUUCGGGGGUACACGAGUGGCGAACGGGUGAGUAACACGUGGGUGAUCUGCCCUGCACUUUGGGAUAAGCCUGGGAAACUGGGUCUAAUACCGGAUAGGACUCUUGGCUGCAUGGCUGGGAGUGGAAAGCUUUUGCGGUGUGGGAUGGGCCCGCGGCCUAUCAGCUUGUUGGUGGGGUGAUGGCCUGCCAAGGCGACGACGGGUAGCCGGCCUGAGAGGGUGUCCGGCCACACUGGGACUGAGAUACGGCCCAGACUCCUACGGGAGGCAACAGUGGGGAAUAUUGCACAAUGGGCGCAAGCCUGAUGCAGCGACGCCGCGUGGGGGAUGACGGCCUUCGGGUUGUAAACCUCUUUCAGCUCCGACGAAGCGCAAGUGACGGUAGGAGCAGAAGAAGCACCGGCCAACUACGUGCCAGCAGCCGCGGUAAUACGUAGGGUGCGAGCGUUGUCCGGAAUUACUGGGCGUAAAGAGCUCGUAGGUGGUUUGUCGCGUUGUUCGUGAAAACUCACA
rnacentral:rRNA from 1 species